rnacentral:rRNA from 1 species
GACGAACGCUGGCGGCGUGCUUAACACAUGCAAGUCGAACGGUAAGGCCCUUUCGGGGGUACACGAGUGGUGAACGGGUGAGUAACACGUGGGUGAUCUGCCCUGCCCUUUGGGAUAAGCCUGGGUAACUGGGACUAAUACCGGAUAGGACUACGCGUUGCAUGUCGUGUGGUGGAAAGCUUUUGCGGUGUGGGAUGGGCCCGCGGCCUAUCAGCUUGUUGGUGGGGUGAUGGCCUACCAAGGCGACAACGGGUAGCCGGCCUGCGUGGGUGACCGGCCACACUGGGACUGAGAGACGGCCCAGGCUCCUACGGGAGGCAGCAGUGGGGAAUAUUGCAGAAUGGGCGCAAGCCGGAUGCAGCGACGCCGCGUGGGGGAUGACGGCCUUCGGGUGGUAAACCCCUUUCAGCACAGACGAAGCGUAAGUGACGGUAUGUGCAGAAGAAGCACCGGCCAACUACGUG